rnacentral:lncRNA from 10 species
UCGCAAUUCCUUGCCUUUACUGUGAGACAAACCCCAGCCACAUCUCCAGCCCACAAGAACUUCCAAACGCCUAAACCGCAGUGGCCAGGCGUUCCUCCAGAACCUCCUCCCCCAGGAACUUGCUACAAGUGCCAGAAAUCUGACCACCAGGCCGAGGAAUGCCUGCAGCCCAGGAUUCCUCCUAAGCCGUGUCCCAUCUGCGCGGGACCCCACUGGAAAUCGGACUGUUCAACUCACCUGGCAGCCACUCCCAGAACCCCUGGAAUUCUGGCCCAAGGCUCUCUGACUGACUCCUUCUCGGCUUAGCAGCUGAAGACUGAUGCUGCCUGAUCGCCUUGGAAGCCCCGUAGACCAUCGCGGAUGCCGAGCUUUAAGUAAUCUCACAGUGGAGGCAGGAUAUGGUGGUAUGGACCUGUUGCCCCAGCUACUCAGGAGGCCGAGAUGAAACAAUCACCUGACCCCAGGAAGUCGGGGCUGCAGUGAACUAGGAUCAUGCCACUGCACUCUAGCCUGGGCAACAAGGUGAGACACCAUCUCUAAAAAUAAUAAUAAAAAAAUAAAGUCUGGUCAGGUGCUGUGGCUCACGCCUAUAAUCCCAGCACUUUGGGAGGCCGAGACAGGUGGAUCACGUGAGGCCAGGAGUUUGAGACCAACCUAGCCAACACGGGGAAACCCUGCCUCUACCAAAAAAUACAAAAAAAUUAGCCUGGUGUGGUGGUGUGCAUCUGUAGUCCCAGCUACUCGGGAGGCUGAGGCGGAAGAAUUGCUUGAACUGGGAGGUGGAGGUUGCAGUGAGCCGAGAUCACACCACUGCACUCUAGCCUGGACGACAGAGUGAGAUCCUGUCUCAAAAAUAAAGUCGGG